GAUGAACGCUAGCGGCAGGCCUAAUACAUGCAAGUCAAGGGGCCAGCAAUGGCACCGGCGCACGGGUGCGUAACACGUACACAACAUACCUUUAAGUGGGAGAUAGCAUCGGGAAACUGGUGGUAAUACCCCAUAAUAUUGCGAUGCGGCAUCACAUUGCAAUUAAAGUUUCGACGCUUAAAGAUUGGUGUGCGUCCGAUUAGCUAGUUGGCGGGGUAACGGGCCCACCAAGGCUACGAUCGGUAGGGGGUGUGAGAGCAUGACCCCCCACCAUGGGUACUGAGACACGGACCCAACUCCUACGGGAGGCAGCAGUAAGGAAU
rnacentral:rRNA from 1 species